UACGUAGGGGGCGUGCGUUGUCCGGAAUUAUUGGGCGUAAAGGGCGCGCAGGCGGCUCUUUAAGUCUGCUGUGAAAGACCGAGGCUCAACCUCGGGAUGUCAGCGGAGACUGGGGAGCUCGGGUGUCGGAGAGGAGCACGGAAUUCCUGGUGUAGCGGUGGAAUGCGUAGAGAUCAGGAGGAACACCGAUGGCGAAGGCAGUGCUCUGGCCGAAGACCGACGUUGAGGCGCGAAAGCUGGGGGAGCGAACGGG
rnacentral:rRNA from 1 species